CUGGCCCCGAAUCAAGGUCAGCAGUUUGCUGAAGCUGUUGGUUUUAAGCAAGAGUCUAAGGAAAUGUCUUUCUGUGGUCUGUUGGUCAUUUCAGAACUUAGGAAAUGUAAUGGCCAUUCAUUAGGAAGAAACAUCU